rnacentral:rRNA from 1 species
CAAAUCAGGUAGGAUUACCCGCUGAACUUAAGCAUAUCAAUAAGCGGAGGAAAAGAAACUAACAAGGAUUCCCCUAGUAACUGCGAGUGAAGCGGGAAAAGCUCAAAUUUAAAAUCUGGCGGUCUUUGGCCGUCCGAGUUGUAGUCUGGAGAAGUGCUUUCCGCGCUGGACCGUGUACAAGUCUCUUGGAACAGAGCGUCAUAGAGGGUGAGAAUCCCGUCUUUGACACGGACUACCAGUGCUUUGUGAUGUGCUCUCAAAGAGUCGAGUUGUUUGGGAAUGCAGCUCAAAAUGGGUGGUAAAUUCCAUCUAAAGCUAAAUAUUGGCGAGAGACCGAUAGCGAACAAGUACCGUGAGGGAAAGAUGAAAAGCACUUUGGAAAGAGAGUUAAACAGUACGUGAAAUUGCUGAAAGGGAAACGCUUGAAGUCAGUCGCGUUGGCCAGGACUCAGCCUUGCUUAUUUGCUUGGUGCAUUUUCUGGUUGACGGGCCAGCAUCGAUUUUGACCGCUGGAAAAAGAUUAGGGGAAUGUGGCACCUUCGGGUGUGUUAUAGCCCUUAGUCACAUACAGUGGUUGGGAUCGAGGACCGCAGCACGCCUUUAUGGCCGGGGUUCGCCCACGUUCGUGCUUAGGAUGCUGGCGUAAUGGCUUUAAACGACCCGUCUUGAAACACGGACCAAGGAGUCUAACAUGCCUGCGAGUGUUUGGGUGGAAAACCCGAGCGCGUAAUGAAAGUGAAAGUUGAGAUCCCUGUCGUGGGGAGCAUCGACGCCCGGACCUGAACUUCGGUGAUGGAUCUGCGGUAGAGCAUGUAUGUUGGGACCCGAAAGAUGGUGAACUAUGCCUGAAUAGGGUGAAGCCAGAGGAAACUCUGGUGGAGGCUCGUAGCGAUUCUGACGUGCAAAUCGAUCGUCAAAUUGGGUAUAGGGGCGAAAGACUAAUCGAA